UGGGGGAUAUUGCACAAUGGGGGAAACCCUGAUGCAGCGAUGCCGCGUGAGGGAAGACGGUUUUCGGAUUGUAAACCUCUGUCUUUGGGGACGAUAAUGACGGUACCCAAGGAGGAAGCACCGGCUAACUACGUGCCAGCAGCCGCGGUAAUACGUAGGGUGCGAGCGUUGUCCGGAAUUACUGGGUGUAAAGGGAGCGUAGGCGGGGGUUCAAGCCCUAUGUUAAAUCCAUCGGCUCAACCGGUGGCUGCGUAGGGAACUGGAUCUCUUGAGUGAAGUAGAGGCAGGCGGAAUUCCUAGUGUAGCGGUGAAAUGCGUAGAUAUUAGGAGGAACACCAGUGGCGAAGGCGGCCUGCUGGGCUUUUACUGACGCUGAGGCUCGAAAGCGUGGGGAGCAAACAGG
rnacentral:rRNA from 1 species